rnacentral:rRNA from 1 species
CCUACGGGUGGCAGCAGUAGGGAAUAUUGCUCAAUGGGGGAAACCCUGAAGCAGCAACGCCGCGUGGAGGAUGAAGGUUUUCGGAUUGUAAACCCCUUUUGUUAGAGAAGAAAAUGACGGUAUCUAACGAAUAAGCACCGGCUAACUCCGUGCCAGCAGCCGCGGUAAUACGGAGGGUGCAAGCGUUAUUCGGAAUCACUGGGCGUAAAGAGCGCGUAGGCGGGAUAGCAAGUCAGAUGUGAAAGCCUAUGGCUUAACCAUAGAACUGCAUUUGAAACUGUUAUUCUAGAGUAUGGGAGAGGUAGGUGGAAUUCUUGGUGUAGGGGUGAAAUGCGUAGAGAUCAAGAGGAAUACUCAUUGCGAAGGCGGCCUGCUAGAACAUAACUGACGCUGAUGCGCGAAAGCGUGGGGAGCAAACAGGAUUAGAUACCCGAGUAGUC